CCUCAGACGGCGGGAGAUCGUGCAGC
rnacentral:piRNA from 1 species